rnacentral:sRNA from 1 species
CCUUCUGUCCAACUUGGUCCAGGUCUGGUGUCCUGGAUGUGCUGAAGAGACAGGUUCCGGGGGUGGCGAGCGCAUGUACCUGUGGGGUGGGCUGCGCAGACUGGAUAUGGUCACAUAGUGCCAGCCACUCACCAGCCUGAGAUGGAGAGAUGGAGAGCUUCAGAGGGGCUGCUCAGGCUUUUCCCAGAUAUACUACAAGCAAGAGAAUGGCUGGCAGGCACUUGGUGGCCUUUUUCUGUCUUCCAUAGGAAGAAUUUUCUAACACAACAGGUCCAGGCGCCAUCAGCGAGGUGAGCAACGGCACGUCGAGGAGGGCAGGCUGCAUCUGGCUGCUGCCUCUCCUGGUCUUGCACCUGCUUCUCAAAUUUUGAUAUAUUUAGGUACAAUGGAGUUUUCUCUUCCCAAACGGGAAGAACACAGCACACCCGGCUUGGACCCACUGCAAGCUGCAUCGUGCAACCUCUUUGGUGCCAGUGUGGGCAAGGGCUCAGCCUCUCUGCCCACAGAGUGCCCCCACGUGGAACAUUCUGGAGCUGGCCAUCCCAAAUUCAAUCAGUCCAUAGAGACGAACAGAGUGAGACCUUCCGGCCCAAGCGUGGCGCUGCGGGCACUUUGGUAGACUGUGCCACCACGGUGUGUGUUGUGAAACGUGAAAUAAAAAGAGCAAGAA